rnacentral:rRNA from 1 species
UACGAAGGGUGCAAACGUUAUUCGGAAUCACUGGGCGUAAAGGGUGUGUAGACGGCCUACUAAGUUCGUUGUUUAAUCUUCCGGCCUAACUGGAAGCUCGCAAUGGAAACUGGUAAGCUUGAGGAUGGAAGAGAGAAGUGGAAUUCUCGGAGUAGCGGUAAAAUGCGUAGAUCUCGAGAGGAACACCGAUGGCGAAGGCAGCUUCUUGGUCCACUCCUGACGUUGAGACACGAAAGCGUGGGUAGCAAACAGG